UGGUCUUUCAACAACACUGCUCCGGGUCUUCAGCAAGAAAGGUGCUUCUCAUGCAAGGAAGAUACAGAGGAUCCUGGUGCCCAUGACUCAGACUGACAACAUUGAUGUGACGAGGGAGUGCAUGCUGAGGAGCUGACGGUCUACCUGAAUGAAGAGCCAGACAAAGUGGAUGUUGAUCUGGACGGUCCAGCUGAAACGUAUUGUCUUCGUGUGCGUGUGAUCGGCAGAGAGUCCUCAACGACAUUGGUAACGUACCUGUGGCCAUUGCAGUGUUUGUUUUGGUUUAUGCUCUUAAUCUCUGUUACCUUCCAGAAUGGAAGUACACUUUCAAAUUUCUGUUUCAUUCUAACCGUCUGUUUCAUCAGUUUUUGCACUGCUUUUAAAUGUACACUGUGUAAGAUUCUUAGUUGUUUAUUUCCAGAAUUCA